rnacentral:lncRNA from 1 species
GAUGGCUACAGCAAGAGGCCCGUUCUUGACAAGGUUGGCAGCAAUCUGUUCUUCAUCAAUGGAGAUAACACUGAAGUUGGAGACAGAGGCAACGAUCUUGGACUUGUCUAACUUGCAGGUGGGGCCGUCCUUUCCAGUGUAAGGAUAGUCUUCUUCUCUCAUGAGCCCUCCGGUUUUGAGGGUGUAUUCAAAUGCGCUGUUCAUUAGCCCACCAUUACAACCAGAGUCGCACGAACCUGCCUCCUCUGGAUCACACUGCAAUAAAGAGAUGAUAGCAACACUUAUUAGACAAGUUUCAAGUAACAAAACUCAUUAAAACUAAACAAGAAGAACAAAGUGCUGAGAUUGAUCAUCCUAAUUAUCUCAAACCGUGAACAUCUUGUAAAAAAUCUAUACUUUGAGCACAACACACAAUCUGACCCUGAUAUAAAAAUCCUUAAUGUUUAAUGCCCUCGAAGGAUAACAGGGAAUAGAGAGAGAAACAAAGUGAAACCUCG